AACGAACGCUGGCGGCGUGCUUAACACAUGCAAGUCGAACGCGAAAGGGACUUCGGUCCUGAGUAAAGUGGCGCACGGGUGAGUAACGCGUAGAUAACCUGUCUUCAUGUCUGGAAUAAUACGCCGAAAGGGGUACUAAUACCGGAUAUUCUUGCUUUUCAUAAGUUAUGCAAGCAAAGGUGGCCUCUGCAUAUGCUACUGCAUGAAGAGGGGUCUGCGUACCAUUAGCUAGUAGGUGGGGUAAUGGCCUACCUAGGCGACGAUGGUUAGCGGGUCUGAGAGGAUGAUCCGCCACGCUGGCACUGGAACACGGGCCAGACUCCUACGGGAGGCAGCAGUGAGGAAUAUUGCGCAAUGGGGGAAACCCUGACGCAGCGACGCCGCGUGAGUGAAGGAAGGCCUUCGGGUCGUAAAGCUCUGUCAAGAGGAAAGAAGUGUACAAUGGCUAAUACCUGUUGUAUUUGACGGUACCUCUAAAGGAAGCACCGGCUAACUCCGUGCCAGCAGCCGC
rnacentral:rRNA from 1 species